rnacentral:lncRNA from 1 species
CAAUAAGACCCGUUGGUUGAAAUGUAAAAAGAGGCAUUUUACCUGAAGCAGUGUUGGAAGGCUGAAUUGGAGCAAAUGGAGUCGAUUAUUUGAAAAUUGUUCCUGACAUUUUGCUUAAACAUGAGCCUAUCCUGGUUGCCUGACUUUGCUGGCCCCGAGGGUCUCCCACAGCCCAGCAGUGGAGUCGGUGUCUUCUGCCUUCGCAGGCCUGCCCAUUGGCCACAGCUCCCCUCAGACCUCCUGAGAUCUCGUUUCCAGAUUGGCUCCUCUGAGAAUACUGACACUCAGUUCCUGCAGAGCCUCCAACAAGGUGUGUGGGCAUCCUCUGUCCUUCAGCAUCAGUCACCCAAGCUGGGAACCCCAGAGGAGGAAGCACCUGUUUUUGCCCUAACUUAGGGAAGGGCUUUGGAUUCUCCGCCAUUCAGAAUGAGUCACUGUGAGACUGCGGAGCGGAUUUUACUCAUCCCCCAGGAAUGGACCCUUGGAAGGCUCCAGAAUGACUAGCCUCAAGUGUUCUGUCUCAGGCACGGGGCAUUUUCCCCCACUCCACGUCUGCAGUCACUUCCUCUCUGGACACAUCCUGUUUCUGGGAGCAGGCGGCAUGCCAAGCAGAUUGCAGCCUCUGAGCAGACGGGCGGAGACAUCCUUCCUCUUAUUUCUAGUACCUAAUCCCAUCUUCCUUCCCAGUCAGAGAUAUCGAUCAGCAUCUCUGCUUUUCCCAGGUCCCUGCACGCCAGGGAGGGAGAGUAGAGAAGGAACAUGUUUCUAUUGGCAACUCCAACUUAUUGGAAGUGCUUAGAAACCUCUGCUGAUUUCUCACCAGCUUCUGAAGCACAGCUCGAAGUGGAAGCCAGAGAUGUUAAACACAGUGUCCCUUGUUCAGUUGGGAGAAAAGAGGCAUGAGCACUUCUCCGUGUCUUGGCCCAAGGGCACACACCGUGAGUCAGCGAUGUCUCCCAGAAGGGGUCUGGAGUCCCAUCCACAGGUGACAUGUUUUACUUUAUUCACGCCCCACCCAGGCCUUCUGGUUGCUUCCUUCACAUCUCUGUGGUGUCUGUUACCACUCUAUCAUCAGCUUGCUGUCUCCCACAAACAUGCUGGGAUUUUCCAACCAUGAGAUCUUCUCUUCCUCUUUUAUUCUUUUUUGGACUUGUGA